rnacentral:rRNA from 1 species
UUUAAAAGACCUAGCAAUAGGUAUGCUUAGGGAGGAGCUUGCGUCACAUUAGUUAGUUGGUGGGGUAAAGGCCUACCAAGACUAUGAUGUGUAGCCGGGCUGAGAGGUUGAACGGCCACAUUUGGACUGAGACACGGCCCAAACUCCUACGGGAGGCAGCAGUAGGGAAUUUUCGGCAAUGGAGGAAACUCUGACCGAGCAACGCCGCGUGAACGAUGAAGUAUUUCGGUACGUAAAGUUCUUUUAUUAGGGAAGAAUAAAUGAUGGAAAAAUCAUUCUGACGGUACCUAAUGAAUAAGCCCCGGCUAACUAUGUGCCAGCAGCCGCGGUAAUACAUAGGGGGCAAGCGUUAUCCGGAAUUAUUGGGCGUAAAGGGUGCGUAGGCGGUUAAAUAAGUUUAUGGUCUAAGUGCAAUGCUCAACAUUGUGAUGCUAUAAAAACUGUUUAGCUAGAGUAAGAUAGAGGCAAGUGGAAUUCCAUGUGUAGUGGUAAAAUGCGUAAAUAUAUGGAGGAACACCAGUAGCGAAGGCGGCUUGCUGGGUCUUUACUGACGCUGAGGCACGAAAGCGUGGGGAGCAAACAGGAUUAGAUACCCUGGUAGUCCACGCCGUAAACGAUGAGUACUAAACGUUGGGUAAAACCAG